GAUGAAGAACGUAGCGAAAUGCGAUACGUAAUGUGAAUUGCAAAUUCAGUGAAUCAUCGAGUCUUUAAACGCACAUUGCGCCCCCUGGUAUUCCGGGGGGCAUGCCUGUUCGAGCGUCAUUAUAACCCCUCAAGCUCAGCUUGGUGUUGGGGCCUGCCGACUGGCAGCCCUUAAAAUCAGUGGCGGCGCCAUCUGGCUCUAAGCGUAGUAAUUUCUCUCGCUAUAGAGUCCCGGUGGAUGCUUGCCAGCAACCCCCAACUUUCUAUGGUUGACCUCGGAUCAGGUAGGGAUACCCGCUGAACUUAAGCAUAUCAAUAAGCGGAGGA
rnacentral:misc_RNA from 1 species